rnacentral:rRNA from 1 species
UACGUAGGUGGCAAGCGUUGUCCGGAAUUACUGGGCGUAAAGCGUGCGCAGGCGGUUUUGUAAGCCAGAUGUGAAAACCCCGGGCUCAACCUGGGAAUGGCAUUUGGGACUGCAAGGCUUGAGUGCGGCAGAGGAGACUGGAAUUCCUGGUGUAGCAGUGAAAUGCGUAGAUAUCAGGAGGAAUACCGAUGGCGAAGGCAGGUCUCUGGACAGUUCCUGACACUGAGGCACGAAGGCCAGGGGAGCAAACGGG